UUUAAUCAUUAUAUAUGUGUUUUAAUGUGCUUAGUUAAAGGAAAAUUUUUAUAAAUGUGGUGCAUAAGUUUUAAUUGGUGAGUUAAGUGUAUUUAUAUGAGCCACAUGAAUUUUAAAUUAUGCAUGAAGUCAUGAAUUUUAUCUAAAUUUGAUAGUACAUGUAACACCCCGUACUUUUCCCUAUGUUGUGAGAUAGUGUCUUAACACUAUUGAGAAUACUGAGAUGUCAGAGAGAUUGACUGUCCUAUUAAGAAAAUAGGAAUAAUGAGUUGGAAAUAGAGUCGAGAAAGAAAGAGUGAAAAACCUUGAUAAAAAAAAACUUGAUAAAAAAAAAAUCGGUCGGAGAGACGUCUAGUUUGUCUGUGUUUACCGACUGCUUUGACGUGAUAUUAUGUGAAAUUACGUGACUGAUUGAUUAUGUGAGUUUUGUUACGUAUGUCAUUGUGAGCAAGUUAUUAUGAUUUUUAUUUGAUAACCUUAGCACUUGGAAUUUUAAUUAAGUUUUCAAAGCAAGUGCAAUUUAUUUUUACCGAGAAAUCAAAGAAUGUCGGUUUAUGAAAAUUUUUCCAAACAAAAUAUUUUCAAAUUAUUUUUCCUAUGAUGAGGAAUAUUAUAAUUGAGUGAGUGCACUAAUAUUAGUGCCAUAUUUAUUUUAAAUAUUGGUCACAAUAGUUUUGUGUUAUAGCAUUGCAUUAAUUAGUAAUUAGUCUUUUAUGAUUUUGUUAAUGUAGCUUAAUACAUGAUUUAUUCUAGACUACACAACCUUACACACACAUGAUUAUUUUAAUCUAAUAAGCAUGUGAUUAAUUUCCUUAGCCUUACUUGAAGUGGACGUGUGGUAUGAAGAUGAAGGGAAGAGAUUAGUGUAUAGGGGGACAAGUAUUAAAUGGUGAAUAGUGUUUGGUCUCCAAUCAUCCUUCCUAAGCAAGACAAAUUCACUUCAUUUCCCUCAUUUUCUUCACCAUUCGGCCACUCUCAAUUUCUCUCCCUCUCUUCCGAUUUUGCUCCAAAAGAUCACCAUAGAUGAAUCACCAAAGCUUCCAAGUUCACAUCAAGAUCAAUUCCUCCACCAAAUCAACAUAAACACCUUUCAAUUCUUGAAGAUUUCAAGAGGACCGUGGGGUUUGGUUUGAAGAGUGAGAAAGGAAAACUUUGAUUUUUGUUUAAUCUUGGGUUGAGCAGUUGAUGGAAUGGAAUGAUGUUGAGCGGGUGUUCCUGUGACAUUUCAAGAAAUGUAACCUUGAGUAUACAUCUUCAUAUGUAUAUCUCACACGUUUUCCGCUGCAAAACACUUUGAUUAGGAUAACUUUAUGUUAUGAAAUUGUGACACGUGUUAUUGGGUAACCCACCUUAAUCAAUUCUCAUUUAUGUGUAUGUUUUAUAAGUAUCCAAAUAAUCAUAUAUGAUCCUAGCAUUUUAUCUA